GCCGCAGUGGUGGAACUGGCAGACACGCAUGCCUUAGGAGCAUGUGCCUUCGGGCGUGGGGGUUCGACUCCCUCCUGCGGCACCU
rnacentral:tRNA from 1 species